ensembl:rRNA 5S_rRNA 5S ribosomal RNA
ACUUACGGCCAUACCACACUCAGCACGCCCGAUCUCGUCUGACCUCGGAAGCUAUGUAAGCACGGUCGGGCCUGGUUAGUACUUGGAUGGGACACCGCCUGAGAAUACCAGGUGCUGUAAGCU